GGACCGGUGGCGCAGUUUGGUAGCGCACCUGACUUUUAAUCAGGGGGUCACGGGUUCGAAUCCCGUCCGGUCCA
rnacentral:tRNA from 1 species